CCUACGGGGGGCAGCAGUGGGGAAUAUUGGACAAUGGGGGGAACCCUGAUCCAGCCAUGCCGCGUGUGUGAAGAAGGCCCUCGGGUUGUAAAGCACUUUCAGUGAGGAAGAACGCCUGGUGGUUAAUACCCAUCAGGAAAGACAUCACUCACAGAAGAAGCACCGGCUAACUCCGUGCCAGCAGCCGCGGUAAUACGGAGGGUGCGAGCGUUAAUCGGAAUUACUGGGCGUAAAGCGCGCGUAGGUGGCUUGAUAAGCCGGUUGUGAAAGCCCCGGGCUCAACCUGGGAACGGCAUCCGGAACUGUCAAGCUAGGGUGCAGGAGAGGAAGGUAGAAUUCCCGGUGUAGCGGUGAAAUGCGUAGAGAUCGGGAGGAAUACCAGUGGCGAAGGCGGCCUUCUGGACUGACACUGACACUGAGGUGCGAAAGCGUGGGUAGCAAACAGGAUUAGAUACCCGGGUAGUC
rnacentral:rRNA from 1 species